rnacentral:rRNA from 1 species
UGGGGAUUAUUGGACAAUGGGGGCAACCCUGAUCCAGCAAUGCCGCGUGGGUGAUGAAGGCCUUCGGGUUGUAAAGCCCUUUCGACGGGGAAGAUGAUGACGGUACCCGUAGAAGAAGCCCCGGCUAACUCCGUGCCAGCAGCCGCGGUAAUACGGAGGGGGCUAGCGUUGUUCGGAAUUACUGGGCGUAAAGGGCGCGUAGGCGUCCGAAGAAGUCAGGCGUGAAAGCCCCGGGCUCAACCUGGGAAUUGCGCUUGAAACUGAUUGGCUGGAGUCCGGGAGAGGGUAGUGGAAUUCCUAGUGUAGAGGUGAAAUUCGUAGAUAUUGGGAAGAACACCGGUGGCGAAGGCGGCUACCUGGCCCGGGACUGACGCUGAGGCGCGAAAGCGUGGGGAGCAAACAGGAUUAGAUACCCCCGUAGUCC